UGUGCGAUGCUUGCAUGUGUAUGCGAUAUUGUGAUUAGGAUUCUUGGCGUGAGUGGGGAUAAAACCGGCAGGAGAAGGUGAUUUUGGGAUAUUUGGCGAGGGUGAGCUUUAGACAACCCAAUCAUCAUACGUCCACUGGGUCUUCGUUAGAUUGGGGGCUUGGGGUUCGUUCUCAGAUGUUCCCUAUUUUGUACCUGUUGCGGGUACACGGAUGACGGAUAAGGAGCAUAGGAGUUGGAGAUGGUAGCACCAGUAAUGGGUGAGUUGCGUCCGCCGUGGUAAGGCACUUUCAUGGAAGAUUAGGAACUCGCCCCGGUCUGAAGCUAAGUGGGUUGCUAUACUUCACAUGAAUAUGUAAAUGUGCACACCACUCGCCGAUAUGGGUAAGGCCUCGGUCGAGACUAGCAAGUGUGACACCAUACCCGCCGUAGUUAGAGUACGUGUAUGGGGGAGUGGUGCUGACCUUUUUCCCCCCUGAUUUGCUUUUUCCCCCGAUUGGCUCCGGUAGGAGUGCUUCACAGUACUGGAGUGUUCCACUGCGGGGGAUCGCAUCCAAGCCCGGUUGCGAGGUGGUAUCAUAACUCCCAGAUUCUUUGCUCUGUAGGGUGAUGUUUAGACGGCUAGCUACUAGCUGCGCUCAUCCCGGGUUGGGAGACACCCCCUCCUCUAGGGGUGGUCGAGGUGUACACACUCUGCAGGGUUCCUAAUCUUCCAUGAAAGUGCCUUACCAUGGCGGACAACCCUGUAACAUCACUGCCCUCCAUUGUUUUGGGAUUCUCUACCUCCCCCUUUUAGCUACUUGUGAGUGUGGUGAGCCGCAAUUGCAGACGGGGAGAGGGGAAGUUGCUUCCUUUCCCUUUGAGAUCACGCUAUGGUUGUUGAGAGGCGAAGAGAGGGAGUCUUCACCUCGACCCUAGUUGGAGAUAGGAUGAUGGUGAUAGGUACCCUAUCGCGGCAGGUGUACCCGAUGUGUUGAGAGAUUUGGGAUGGUGGCUAUGGAGUUUAUCUUUAUACUUGCUGCUGCUAUAGGAAAACCCGGACCUUUUCCUUGUCUACUUUUUACCCCUUAGCAUUAGGCCACAUAAAGUUUGCAUACGAAUGGUGCUGUGGAGCUAUCCCAAUUCCUUGGGAACAGCUCGUGAGUUUGCAGGUUACGUUUCCGACUUCGACAACAACUACGACGAUUGGUACGAUUGAGGGUUGCAGUGCUACACUCAGGGAUGCCUGUGGGGAUGAUCGUGAAGAUGGAGAAGUAGCCAGAACCUAAAUUCUGCUGUGUUGGUUUUAUUCAUCUUGUUUAGCCCAAUGGGUUGUAUCAGAUCGU
rnacentral:lncRNA from 1 species